UUGACAUCCCGAUGCUAUUUCUAGAGAUAGAAAGUUACUUCGGUACAUCGGUGACAGGUGGUGGCAUGGUUGUCGUCAGCUCGUGUCGUGAGAUGUUGGGUUAAGUCCCGCAACGAGCGCAACCCCUAUUGUUAGUUGCCAUCAUUCAGUUGGGCACUCUAGCGAGACUGCCGGUAAUAAACCGGAGGAAGGUGGGGAUGACGUCAAAUCAUCAUGCCCCUUAUGACCUGGGCUACACACGUGCUACAAUGGUUGGUACAACGAGUUGCGAGUCGGUGACGGCGAGCUAAUCUCUUAAAGCCAAUCUCAGUUCGGAUUGUAGGCUGCAACUCGCCUACAUGAAGUCGGAAUCGCUAGCAAUCGCGGAUCAGCACGCCGCGGUGAAUACGUUCCCGGGCCUU
rnacentral:rRNA from 1 species